rnacentral:miRNA from 1 species
UUGGGCUUGAAGAUUAAUUUAGA